GCCCCUGCUUCUAAAUGCCUGGUUAUGUCCAAACUUGGAAGCUAAGCAAGGUUGGACUUGUUUAGUACUUGGAUGGAAGAUGGCUGUGAAUACCAGGUGACA
rnacentral:rRNA from 1 species